AUUUUUUUUAUUCUUUGGAAAGGAUCCCAGCAUCUCACAGCACCGGCAAGAGGGGUUGGAAUUUUUAAUCUUCUUCCACAGAAAGGAAGUUCAUAAAUUCUCAGAAAGAUCCGAUACAGAGCGGAGCUGAAGAGCAGGAAAAAGAAAAUAAAAAAAAAACCAUCCCAGAUUCUGGAAUUCUUGGAAGAGCGGCCUGGAACGAUGAAGGAUUUAUUGAGGAGGAAAAAAUGGCUUUGGAAAACCUGGAACAGAAAUCACUGAUCGCUCAUUUUUUGGGGUUUUUUUCAGCAUUUAAAAAUUGGAUUAUUCCGGAUUAUCCUGAGCGGGGAAUGGUGGAGGCAGAGAAUUCCAGGGAAUUGCAGCGUUGGGAAUUCGGGAUUGGAAUUUUUUUUUCCUGCCAGAGUGGCACAAAAAGGAGAAAUCCCCAAGAAUUCCCAAGAAUUCCCAGGAAUUCCCAGGAAUUUGGGGUUUGCUGGGCCCUGCUCUGGCAGGGGGAGAGAAUUCCUGGAUCCAGGGGGAGAAAAUCCAACCUGAUCCAAACCCAGCCCUUGGAAUGGGGCAAUUCCCAUGGGAACGGCUCCGGCUCCCCAUCCUGCACCUGGGUUUGCCCCAAAAUCCCCAAUUCUGGCCCCAAAAACCAUCCUGGAUUCCUGCCCGGGAACAGCCAGGGCUGUGGGACAGCUCCAUCCCAAAAAUGUCCCAAAAAACCAGGCAGGAAUUCCGGGAAUUCUGGGAAUUCCCUGUCCCUGAUCCCACUGCAUUUCUCUCUCCAGAAAUUCCUGAAUUUCCUGAUCCCACUGCAUUCCCCUUCCAGAAAUUCCUGAAUUCCCUGAUCCCACUGCAUUCCUCUCAAUAGAAAUUCCCAAAUUUCCGGAAUUCCCUGAUCCCCCUGUAUUCCUCUCUAUAGGAAUUCCCAAAUUCCCUGAUCCCACUGCAUUCCCUGCUCUCAGGAAUUCCCAAAUUCCCUGAUUCCACUGCAUUCCCCUCUCAGGAAUUCCAGAAAUUCCUGAAUUCCCUAAUCCCCCUGCAUUCCCCUUCCAAAAAUUCCCGAAUUUCCUGAAUUCCCUGAUCCCACUGCAUUCCCCUCUCAGGAAUUCCAGAAAUUCCCUAAAUUCGGAGCCUUCACCUCCCCCUGCUGGCAGAUCCCGCUCUGUCCCGGACCUCCCAUUCCCAAAUUUCCCCAAUUUGCAGGACAAAUUCUCUCUUUUUUCCUGAACCUCCCAUUCCCAAAUUUCCCCAAUUUNGGGGGCGGCUGCGGCUCCCGCCGGGACCCAGCGGGGCAAAACCGUCCCGGGACUAUCCCGGGUUAAAUCCCAAAUUCUGGGUUAAAUCCCAAAUUCUGGGUUAAAUCCCAAACCCGCGGGUUAAAUCCCAAAUUCUGGGGUUAAAUCCCAAAUUCUGGGUUAAAUCCCAUAUCCUCAGGUUAAAUCCCAAACCCUCGGGUUAAAUCCCAAAUUCUGGGUUAAAUCCCAAAUCCUCAGGUUAAAUCCCAAACCCUCGGUUAAAUCCCAAAUUCUGGGGUUAAAUCCCCAAAUUCU
rnacentral:lncRNA from 1 species